AAAAAAAAAAACUGCAAAAAAAAAAAAAAAAGAAGAAGUGAUUCCACCUUUCCUAUUAGAUCUAAUCCUGUACCCUUCAGGGUAACAGUAACUCUGAGGAUGGGUGCUACCCAAGCUGGUGAAGUUGAAAGCCUGUUUCCUAUGUAGGACCACAAAUAGUACAGCAGCUUGUCACUGGAACAAAAGCUCCACCCAGGGAUCGAACUCAGGACCUUGUGCUUGUGAGGCAGGCGGCGGCACCACUGAGCUAAAUCCCUGGCUGGUGUGCUUUACUUUCUUCAUCUACAACUGAAAAUUCUGUUUUCUGCCUUCUAAAGCUGUCAUGAAGACAAAAGGAGUUGACCCAAGAGGAUGCUUAGAACCAUGCCUGGCACACACAGUGUCCUUGUAAAUGCUCCAGAUAGGUGCCUCAUUCAGCAGAUGGCCCUGACCACCCAGGCCACACCCCUCCAGCAUGGCUUUUCUAAAUGUCAGAGGCAGCACUGGCAAGAAACAGCUGAUGGUGACCAGUGCCAGAGGUGAGGAAUGAGAGGUACCAGGAGAACCCCACCUUGGCAGAGCAAAGCUGGGAGGUGAACCCAGCCCAUAAGGUUCCAGACCCCACGCCAACCUGCAAAGAAAGAAGAGUGCUGUACGGUUAUGGCCAGGCCCU